AACACAUGCAAGUCGAGCGGAUGAAGGGAGCUUGCUCCUGGAUUCAGCGGCGGACGGGUGAGUAAUGCCUAGGAAUCUGCCUGGUAGUGGGGGAUAACGUCCGGAAACGGGCGCUAAUACCGCAUACGUCCUGAGGGAGAAAGUGGGGGAUCUUCGGACCUCACGCUAUCAGAUGAGCCUAGGUCGGAUUAGCUAGUUGGUGGGGUAAAGGCCUACCAAGGCGACGAUCCGUAACUGGUCUGAGAGGAUGAUCAGUCACACUGGAACUGAGACACGGUCCAGACUCCUACGG
rnacentral:rRNA from 1 species